UACGUAGGUGGCAAGCGUUGUCCGGAUUUAUUGGGUUUAAAGGGUGCGUAGGCGGCCCUGUAAGUCAGUGGUGAAAUACUCCAGCUUAACUGGAGGGGUGCCAUUGAUACUGCAGGGCUUGAGUGGAGUCGAAGUAGGCGGAAUUGACGGUGUAGCGGUGAAAUGCUUAGAUAUCGUCAAGAACACCGAUAGUGAAGACAGUUUACUAGGCUUCUACUGACGCUGAGGCACGAAAGUGUGGGGAUCAAACAGGAUUAGAUACCCUGGUAGUCCACACUGUAAACGUUGAUUACUCGCUGUUGGCGAUACACAGCCAGCGGCCAAGCGCAAGCGAUAAGUAAUCCACCUGGGGAGUACGCCGGCAACGGUGAA
rnacentral:rRNA from 1 species